rnacentral:rRNA from 1 species
UACAGAGGUCUCAAGCGUUGUUCGGAUUCAUUGGGUGUAAAGGGUGCGUAGGCGGCGCGGUAAGUCGGGUGUGAAAUCUCGGAGCUUAACUCCGAAACUGCAUUCGAUACUGCCGUGCUUGAGGACUGGAGAGGAGACUGGAAUUUACGGUGUAGCGGUGAAAUGCGUUGAUAUCGGCUGGAACUCCGAUGGCGAAGGCAAGGUGCUGGACCAUUACUGACGCUGAUGCACGAAAGCUAGGGGAGCAAACAGG